GCUUCCUUGGCUCAGUUGGCUAGAGCGCAGGUCUCAUACGCAUUGUAUGAGUAAUCAUCAGAUUACGUAAUCCUGAGGUCGCAAGUUCGAGCCUUGCAGGGAGCA